CCUACGGGUGGCAGCAGUGGGGAAUAUUGGACAAUGGGCGAAAGCCUGAUCCAGCCAUGCCGCGUGUGUGAAGAAGGCCUUCGGGUUGUAAAGCACUUUCAGUGGGGAAGAAAGCCUUGGGGCUAAUACCCUCGAGGAAGGACAUCACCCACAGAAGAAGCACCGGCUAACUCCGUGCCAGCAGCCGCGGUAAUACGGAGGGUGCGAGCGUUAUCGGAAUUACUGGGCGUAAAGCGCGCGUAGGCGGUCUGAUAAGCCGGUUGUGAAAGCCCCGGGCUCAACCUGGGAACGGCAUCCGGAACUGUCAGGCUAGAGUGCAGGAGAGGAAGGUAGAAUUCCCGGUGUAGCGGUGAAAUGCGUAGAGAUCGGGAGGAAUACCAGUGGCGAAGGCGGCCUUCUGGACUGACACUGACGCUGGGGUGCGAAAGCGUGGGUAGCAAACAGGAUUAGAUACCCUUGUAGU
rnacentral:rRNA from 1 species